rnacentral:misc_RNA from 1 species
CGUGUUUUGUCUACAACUCUGCAUUCGAACCUGAGUCGCCAGACACUGAAGGUAGAAAAGAUCUGUGCUGAUGAGACGAGAGUGACUAGUGUUACCUGGGGAUUUAAGGUGACAGUUAAGGAAUAUUGGUGAAACUGAUGUCACAGACAAGAAAAAAGAGUUGAAUGGACAACAGACGCAGCAAAUUAUCGAAGAAGGGAGAUCAGGUCAAGGAGCAGUUUUUAUGACCAAAGUCUGACCCAUUAUUAUGGCUUAGACCAAACUACAGCCUCCGAUCAUACCAACGAAAUCUUUCACGAUGGCGCCCGUGCUUUCAGUGGUAAGGGCUUUGCCCAACAGUAACGCCGUCAAGCUCUUCUCUCGGACAACCUCCUUUGUGAGCCAUGACAAGGUGGAAUAUAGGGCCCAGAGCAACGCCACGUCCGAGCGGGAAAGGGCCAAGACUGUGGCUGCCUAUUACAACCAACCUGCCAUUGAGGCUGCUGCGAAGAAGAAAACCGUGAGAUUAACUACAUCAGCCAUCUUGUACCAUGGGAGGAGUGAGGACGAGGCCACAAUCCUGAGAAGUGCACAAUAUUUGCAAAAGGAAUUGCCAGUUCGUAUUGCAAAGAGAAUCAUGGGAUUCCGUUCUCUUCCUUUCAUUGUGGGCUGCAAUCCAACAGUGCUUGGAGUGCAUGAACUGUACAUUCGAGCCUUCAACAUACUGAACAGUUAUGCUCCCAUUAUCACCAAGGAGGAUGAAGUCAACUUCAGCAGGAGGCUUAAUCAACUCUUGGAGGAUCAUAAGAAUGUAGUGACGCACCUUGCCCAAGGCUUCCGAGAAUGCAGACGGCACAUUCAAGAUGAAGAGUCCGUGGCCCGUUUUCUGGACACAACGCUCACCUCUCGUCUAAGUAUUCGGAUGCUGGCUCAACACCAUCUUUCUCUCAGGGAAAGUAAGCAAAACUAUGUAGGAAUUAUAAAUGUUGCAAUGAAGCUAAAGGAGGUGAUUGAACGCAGCUGUCAGUUUGUUUCUCGCGUUUCACUGCACAAAUAUGGGAAGGUGCCGGAAAUCAAACUGUCAGGUCAUGUCAAUGCGGUCUUUCCGUAUAUUGAGUUGCCGCUAGAUUACAUUUUGCCUGAGAUUCUAAAGAAUGCUGUGAGAGCGACAAUUGAGAGUCAUUCGGAAUAUGAAUCUGGACACUUGCCACCCAUACAUCUCACUAUAGCUUCAAAUGAGAGAGACUUCAUUAUCAGGAUUAGUGACAGGGGCGGAGGAAUCCCCCACCAUCUUGUAGGCCGUGUUCUCGAGUAUAACUUCACAACGGCAAACACGGAGAAUAUGUCUGAUCCAGAGCAGCAAGAGGGUGUUUUCUCAAACAUGAUGGAAGCAGUUAAUCCAAAUCCUGCUGGUGGGCCCAUGCAUGGGUUUGGGUUUGGACUCCCCACUUCCAGGGCCUAUGCAGAGUACAUGGGAGGCAGCUUGGAGAUACAGGCCAUGCAGGGCAUUGGCACUGAUGUUUAUUUGCGGAUGCAGCAUAUUAACAGUCAAGUUGGUUCCUUCAGGAUAUAGAUGGGAAUUAAGCAUUCACUUAGAAUUAUGGAGUGAUUUGAACCAGGUGUUGAGAAAAUGAAGAAGUGAUCUUCAGGAAUGUUACAAGUAAUCAGGUUGUAUUGAAAUAGCCAUUCUAGUGCCAAAAAUAACAUGUAAGGGAUAGAAGGGGUGGCUGUUUUAAAUGUAUUUAAUCUGCAGCCCCAUAAAACUAAUAAGGAAUAAGUUGAAAUGUUGAUAUGGAGGAAGGUAUUGUUUUGAUAAUGAGAAAAUUUUAAUUCAGCAGAUAUAAUUCAGGAAGGAAGCAUUUAACUGGUUUAGACUUGGCAAGCUUAGUAAUUAUAUUAAUGAAACCAAAAGCCAGUUUGUAACAAGGCAAAGUAGAAGUAAAGGACAAUGGCAUAAGUUUUCUUACUAGUACUUUAUUUUCUUAAGAUGUGUGAUGAUAGAAUUGAUUAUUUAAUUUUUAAACUUCUGUUACAUUCGUUGUACAAAUAAAACAAUUUGAUUAUCUAGAAAGGAUUUCCAGACAAAUUGACUUUAUUGAGUCUCCGAAAAUGUAUAACUAAAAUUACUGUGUGAGUACAUGAAAAGCUUUGACUCGGUGAACCCUGUUCUUUUUUCAGAGAGAUGCAUCAAUUAAUGAAAAACAGAAAAAUAUAUAGGCAGCUUUAAAGUUUUUAUCCUAAAGCAAACAUGGUAACAUAUUUGAAUAUUAUAAAGAAAGCUCUGUGUUUGUAUUAAAGGAAUUACUUAAAAGGAUAAACUUAAAAAUAUCUGUUUAGAGUAUACUUUUUAUAGAAUCAGUUAUUUUCGGCUAAAACUAAAGUUGGCAUAACUUACAGAAUAGAUAUUUGUUAAUUAGUAUUUUGAUUGCCUUGUUCUGGUAAUUCAUGUUUUGUCAUAUUAAUCAUAUAUUUGUCAUAUUUAGUGGAAAAUAAAAUAAAAUUAUAUUGUUUCACUGAAAGAACUUUUGAUGUUAAUUCAUUGAAUUUGUAAUGGAUAUUACAGAUGGAAACAUAAUUUAAAUAAUAAUUUGUAAUGAUAUAUAUAUUUGAGAGAUACUCUUGAGUAAAAUAAUUUUGAAUAUGACUAUAAUUUAAGAUUUGGUUAGCAUAAUGUAAACUUUUGUAUUUUAUGAGUAGAUGUAAUGCUAAUACUAUUUUUAAACCUUUGUAAUAUGACACCAUAGUAUGGUAGAUUAAUUUUCUCUUUUGAUGUGUGAUGUGAUUUACCUGUGUAUUAUAUAAUUUGUGUGCAUCCAAAAGUAGAUCUUAGAAUACGUUUUCAUUACUGGUAUGUAUAUUUUUUGUCAGGAACAAAGUAGUGCAAUUAGUCUGUGAUACAUGUUAGAUUAAAUUUCUUUUGUCUUUUAUUUCUUCAAUUUCUGUAAUGCAGAUAGAGUUUUUAUAGUAUAACUAUAGCUGAAGAGUAAAUGACUUUAAAAUUG